GAUGAACGCUGACAGAAUGCUUAACACAUGCAAGUCAACUUGAACUUCGGUUUGGGUGGCGGACGGCUGAGUAACGCGUAAAGAACUUGCCUCACAGAUAGGGACAACAUUUGGAAACGAAUGCUAAUACCUGAUAUUAUGAUUUUAGGGCAUCCUAGGAUUAUGAAAGCUAUAUGCGCUGUGAGAGAGCUUUGCGUCCCAUUAGCUAGUUGGAGAGGUAACGGCUCACCAAGGCGAUGAUGGGUAGCCGGCCUGAGAGGGUGAUCGGCCACAAGGGGACUGAGACACGGCCCUUACUCCUACGGGAGGCAGCAGUGGGGAAUAUUGGACAAUGGACCAAGAGUCUGAUCCAGCAAUUCUGUGUGCACGAUGAAGCUUUUCGGAAUGUAAAGUGCUUUCAGUUGGGAAGAAAAAAAUGACGGUACCAACAGAAGAAGUGACGGCUAAAUACGUG
rnacentral:rRNA from 1 species